CACGUAGGCACCAAGCGUUGUCCGGAUUUAUUGGGCGUAAAGAGCGUGUAGGCGGCCAGGUAGGUCCGUUGUGAAAACUCGAGGCUCAACCUCGAGACGCCGAUGGAAACCAUCUGGCUAGAGUCCGGAAGAGGCGAGUGGAAUUCCUGGUGUAGCGGUGGAAUGCGCAGAUAUCAGGAGGAACACCAAUAGCGAAGGCAGCUCGCUGGGACGGUACUGACGCUAAGGCGCGAAAGCGUGGGGAGCGAACAGG
rnacentral:rRNA from 1 species